rnacentral:rRNA from 1 species
UACGUAGGCAGCGAGCGUUGUUCGGAAUUACUGGGCGUAAAGAGUGUGUAGGCGGUGUUCCCAGUCUGUUGUGAAAUCUCCCGGCUUAACUGGGAGGGUGCAGCGGAAACUAGAAUGCUAGAGGGUGGGAGAGGUAAGCGGAAUUCCUGGUGUAGCGGUGAAAUGCGUAGAUAUCAGGAGGAACACCUGUGGUGUAGACAGCUUACUGGACCACUUCUGACGCUGAGACACGAAAGCGUGGGUAG